GUAUUUUAGUGUAGGAUGCACAAAAGUUUUUGAUACUUUUAGAAAUAGUUUAAUUCUAUUAAAUAUAA
rnacentral:tRNA from 1 species